GUAAAGGUAGUGACACCCAGGGAAAGGAGAGAAGAAGAAAACACGUUGGUGUGUAAAUUGGUGAAGAAGAAAAAAUGCAGACAUGAAAUAUGCUGAGUAUGUGGACUGUAUCUUAGGAUGUCAACUCGAGGAUGUGCUAGACAGUGCUACGUGAGUGACCAGUUGGAUGGUACAACAGAGCCCGCUACCCCGGACCUUCCUGCUACUGCUUGCACCUGGACCUUAGGACUUGUUAUUACUCCGCCAUCAGAGGGCUACUGGGACCCUUUUGCCAUUUCUUUGGACACACAGAGGAGGAGGUGUCACACCUGUGCUGCAGCUCCGAGUCAUCCUCAAAUACCCC